GACGAACGCUGGCGGCGUGCCUAAUACAUGCAAGUAGAACGCUGAAGAGAGGAGCUUGCUCUUCUUGGAUGAGUUGCGAACGGGUGAGUAACGCGUAGGUAACCUGCCUUGUAGCGGGGGAUAACCAUUGGAAACGAUAGCUAAUACCGCAUAACAAUGGAUGACACAUGUCAUUUAUUUGAAAGGGGCAAUUGCUCCACUACAAGAUGGACCUGCGUUGUAUUAGCUAGUAGGUGAGGUAACGGCUCACCUAGGCGACGAUACAUAGCCGACCUGAGAGGGUGAUCGGCCACACUGGGACUGAGACACGGCCCAGACUCCUACGGGAGGCAGCAGUAGGGAAUCUUCGGCAAUGGGGGCAACCCUGACCGAGCAACGCCGCGUGAGUGAAGAAGGUUUUCGGAUCGUAAAGCUCUGUUGUAAGUCAAGAACGAGUGUGAGAGUGGAAAGUUCACACUGUGACGGUAGCUUACCAGAAAGGGACGGCUAACUACGUGCCAGCAGCCGCGGUAAUACGUAGGUCCCGAGCGUUGUCCGGAUUUAUUGGGCGUAAAGCGAGCGCAGGCGGUUUGAUAAGUCUGAAGUUAAAGGCUGUGGCUCAACCAUAGUUUGCUUUGGAAACUGUCAAACUUGAGUGCAGAAGGGGAGAGUGGAAUUCCAUGUGUAGCGGUGAAAUGCGUAGAUAUAUGGAGGAACACCGGUGGCGAAAGCGGCUCUCUGGUCUGUAACUGACGCUGAGGCUCGAAAGCGUGGGGAGCGAACAGGAUUAGAUACCCUGGUAGUCCACGCCGUAAACGAUGAGUGCUAGGUGUUGGAUCCUUUCCGGGAUUCAGUGCCGCAGCUAACGCAUUAAGCACUCCGCCUGGGGAGUACGACCGCAAGGUUGAAACUCAAAGGAAUUGACGGGGGCCCGCACAAGCGGUGGAGCAUGUGGUUUAAUUCGAAGCAACGCGAAGAACCUUACCAGGUCUUGACAUCCCGAUGCUAUUUCUAGAGAUAGAAAGUUACUUCGGUACAUCGGUGACAGGUGGUGCAUGGUUGUCGUCAGCUCGUGUCGUGAGAUGUUGGGUUAAGUCCCGCAACGAGCGCAACCCCUAUUGUUAGUUGCCAUCAUUCAGUUGGGCACUCUAGCGAGACUGCCGGUAAUAAACCGGAGGAAGGUGGGGAUGACGUCAAAUCAUCAUGCCCCUUAUGACCUGGGCUACACACGUGCUACAAUGGUUGGUACAACGAGUUGCAAGUCGGUGACGGCAAGCUAAUCUCUUAAAGCCAAUCUCAGUUCGGAUUGUAGGCUGCAACUCGCCUACAUGAAGUCGGAAUCGCUAGUAAUCGCGGAUCAGCACGCCGCGGUGAAUACGUUCCCGGGCCU
rnacentral:rRNA from 1 species